CGACCACUGAAGACGUUCUUUGGCGGAGACGGAUUGGCGGCAGCGAGAAGGCAGUGCAGGUGUGCGAGUUACUUUCAGGCUUUGAAAAACCUGGCAAUGAAUUAUUCUGGCUGAGUUCUGUCGCUUAUCAAGCAAAAAUCUGAGUUGCAAUCAGAGUUCUUCAAAGAUCUCGACAAAUACACUCCUCGCUUCCUGGAGAAGUUCAAAACCCAGAGGGGGAAAGUGUCGGUCAGAAACUUGAAUAUCUGCAACAAGUCAAACCUGGGAGUACAGAUGUGACUGGGAGGUGAACAGCAGUCCUCCGUGGCUCUCCCGUCAUCCUUGGAGAUGACAACGCAGACUUCUUCAAGAAUUUGAGGUUCAGGAGCAGCCAAUAUGAUGCAGGUGUGACGGCUGAAGAUGGUAGGUACCUGUUCAGCCUCCUGUGGUAGGAGCACAUUUCCCAGAAGCAGCAGUGACAAAGAAAUGUGGAUGUUUACCACGAAUAUGGACUCUGAUGACCUUCUGGACGUGUCCCACGCCUCCAUUGGGACCCUGACGGUGCUGAAGACAUCGUGGCCUCUCCUCACUCGCUGGACCUGGAGUCUACAACUACUGCCAUCGUUUUGGGAGGAGCAGUCGUGAUGGGUGACCGUGAUAAUCUUCCCCGUGCCGUGUGGCUACUCUUCGGACUUAUUUACGCCUGAAUUUGGAGUAUCCUCAACGAGUGAGGAACACCUUCUGAAUUUAUUCAUAGAGUGCUUCUCACUUGGACCAAAAACCCUAAAAUACAAUCACUCAAAAAUCUACUGAUGCCAUAAGGGGCUGUGUUCAUGAUGUGCAGUCAGGCCCGAGAACUUCACCCUUCUAUCUCUUUUCUAGAAAAUGUCUGUUUUUGUUGUUUUUCUGUCGUGAAAUUUAGCAAAUGCCGAAAACUCUGUGUUCAUCAUAUUUCUGCAUUACAAAACCUAAUCUGGCAACAUGUUCAGCGUUUUAAGCACGUUGUUUGAGUUUUAAAACAUGUGUUUUUCUUCUAAAUAAACGUUUUCUUCCAUUGUAA